UACGGGGGGCGCAAGCGUUGUUCGGAUUUACUGGGCGUAAAGGGCGCGUAGGCGGCCACCGCAGGUCGACUGUGAAAUCUCCGGGCUCAACCUGGGAACUGCAUUUGUGACUGCAAGGCUGGAGUGCGGCAGAGGGGGAUGGAAUUCCGCGUGUAGCAGUGAAAUGCGUAGAUAUGCGGAGGAACACCGAUGGCGAAGGCAAUCCCCUGGGCCUGCACUGACGCUCAUGCACGAAAGCGUGGGGAGCAAACAGG
rnacentral:rRNA from 1 species